CCUCGAAUAGCUCAGUUGGUAGAGCGUCAGACUGUAAUUGGUAAUACUCAUUUCAUCUGAAUGUCACCUGUUCGACCCAGGUUUCGAGGA